UACGAAGGGGGCUAGCGUUGCUCGGAAUCACUGGGCGUAAAGGGCGCGUAGGCGGCCAUUCAAGUCGGGGGUGAAAGCCUGUGGCUCAACCACAGAAUUGCCUUCGAUACUGUUUGGCUUGAGACCGGAAGAGGUUAGUGGAACUGCGAGUGUAGAGGUGAAAUUCGUAGAUAUUCGCAAGAACACCAGUGGCGAAGGCGGCUCACUGGCCCAUUACGUGACGCUGAGGCACGAAAGCGUGGGGAGCAAACAGG
rnacentral:rRNA from 1 species